rnacentral:lncRNA from 1 species
CUUACUGUCAAGAAUGAUUGCACGCUGCGAUAGAGAUUAGAGGAAGUAGAAGAACGGUGGCCACUAUUUGGCGUGACGUCAACGACGGCAAGAGGUGCUGGUCUGGCGAUGACAUGCAAGGGAGAUGCCAAUUAAGGGAGUUAUGGUUUAACGAAGGGGCAGGGAAAUCUGAAUUGGUGGAAUCUAUCAGGGGAAAGGUUAGGGGGAAAAAGUUGGG